rnacentral:rRNA from 1 species
CCCUUAGAUGUCCUGGGCCGCACGCGCGUUACACUGAUGCAUUCAACGAGCUUAUAACCUUGGCCGAGAGGCCUGGGCAAUCUUGUUAACGUGCAUCGUGAUAGGGAUAGAUUAUUGAAAUUAUUAAUCUUGAACGAGGAAUUCCUAGUAAACGCAGAUCAUCAAUCUGCAUUGAUUACGUCCCUGCCCUUUGUACACACCGCCCGUCGCACCUACCGAUUGGAUGGUCCGGUGAAGCCUCGGGAUUGUGGUUCUUGCCGCUUUAUUGUAGCGUGACCGCGAGAACUUGUCUAAACCUUAUCAUCUAGAGGAAGGUGAAGGCGUAACA